CAGUCGCCGCGGGAAUACGAAGGUGGCAAGCGUUGUCCGGAAUUAUUGGGCGUAAAGGGCUCGCAGGCGGUUUCUUAAGUCUGAUGUGAAAGCCCCCGGCUCAACCGGGGAGGGUCAUUGGAAACUGGGAAACUUGAGUGCAGAAGAGGAGAGUGGAAUUCCACGUGUAGCGGUGAAAUGCGUAGAGAUGUGGAGGAACACCAGUGGCGAAGGCGACUCUCUGGUCUGUAACUGACGCUGAGGAGCGAAAGCGUGGGGAGCGAACAGGAUUAGAUACCCCAGUAGUCCCUGUCUCUUAUAC
rnacentral:rRNA from 1 species